GAACAACUCUCAGCAACGGAUAUCUUGGCUCUUGCAACGAUGAAGAACGCAGCGAAAUGCGAUACGUAGUGUGAAUUGCAGAAUUCCGCGAAUCAUCGAGUCUUUGAACGCAAGUUGCGCCCGAGGCUUGUCCGAGGGCAUUUCCGCUAGAGCGUCAC
rnacentral:rRNA from 1 species